rnacentral:ncRNA from 1 species
AGAAUGUUUGAUUCUGGCUUAAAGUCUUUGUUAUAUUAUUAAGAUCGUAUGGAAAUUGUUAAUUAUAGGAGAUAAAAUAUUAAUUUUAUAUUAAUAUAAUAAAAUAAAUCUAAAUAAAUUUAUAAUAAUUAUCUAUAUUCUCAGCGUAGAAGUUUAGUAAAUAUAUGUAAAUAUGAGCUAGUAAAUAAUAAGUGUUUAAAUCUGAUAAAAUAUUUGUGCCAGCAUUCGCGGUUAGACUUUAAGGUUAAAUAAAGAAGUUAAUAUCUAAGUUACUUGUAUAAUGAAAUAUAAAAAUAUUAAUUUUCAAAUAUUAAUAAUAAUAAUAAUAAUAAUAAUAAUAAUAAUAAUAAUUUUAUUUCGCCAACACUGGGCAUAUGAGUACAGAGUACAGAUUAAUUAAUAGGUGAAAUUAUUGUUAUUUUGCAAAAUUUAAUGUAUUUUAAGGAGGCUUAUAAGCUUUAAAGAUAAACUAGGAUUAGAUACCCUAUUAUAUUAAAGUUUAAUAAUGAAUGUAGAAUUAUUAAUAGGUAUAACUUAAAAUUUUAAGAAUUUGGCGGUAAAAUAGUCUUGUCAGAGGAACCUGUUUAAGUUGAUCGAUACCCCUCGUAGUAUCUUACUUAUUUUAAGUUUGUAUACCAUCAUUAUUAGAUAAUUUUUAAAGAAUACAAUUAUUGAAAUUGAAUUAUUAAAAAAAUUAGAUCAAGGUGCAGCAUAUAAAUAAGUUUAAAUGGGUUACAAUAAAUUUUAUUUAGAUGAAUAAGGUUAGUAAGUAAAUCUAGGAAGGAGGAUUUGAUAGUAAUAUGAGUUUAAUAUGCUUAUAAGAUAAUAGCUCUAAAUUAUGUACAUAUCGCCCGUCGCUUUCAUUAAUUAAUGAGAUAAGUCGUAACAUAGUAGAUGUACUGGAAAGUGUAUCUAGAAUUU